rnacentral:rRNA from 1 species
AUGUGGCAAAUGAGAAACGGGCCCCACCUGUCAAUGAGUAGAAGGUCUUCUUCUUCCUCACUCUUUUUAUGUGGCAUUCCAUCGAACACCUUCUGGGCGACCGAAGAGCAGCGGCGUUCUUGCCCUUGUAGUCCACGGUCCACCUACCGCACGGAGGACACAGCCAAGGAGCUGAGCUCCGGCGACGGCAGCAACGCCUACAUGCGCAGCCUCACCUCGGCAUGGUGCUCCGGCCGCCGCCGCCCCGUUGGCGUGCGUGUGUGCGUGCUCUACACUAGCAGCUACAGUCAACGCAUGCGUGCGUGCACCUGCACUACAGCAGUGGGAGGGGGGGAGGAGAGAGAACGACGGCGGCGUGCUCGGUGGCGAGCUCGCUAUGGGUGCGGGCGACUUCGGGCCGUCGUCGUCGUCCCCAUCGGCGGCGGAUCCGCGGCCCAUCCUCUAUCCUGGCGCGAGAACGCCCACCACGCCAGCGCUCCAUGGUUGCUCCACGCCUACCCUGCCGGUGCUCCAUGGAGAGGCGGACGAGCAGCCGCUGUUCCCCAUGACCCCCUGACACCACCUCCCGGAGCUUGGGCGCGUGGGCGCACGGUGGUGGACGGUGGCAGGAUGGUGACCACGGCGAGGUUGCUCCGGCGGAGGGGGAAGGACCACCUCGACGGGCGCGGCCGACCUUGA